UACGGAGGAUCCAAGCGUUAUCCGGAAUCAUUGGGUUUAAAGGGUGCGUAGGUGGGCAGGUAAGUCAGUGGUGAAAUCUCCGGGCUUAACCCGGAAACUGCCAUUGAUACUAUUUGUCUUGAAUACUGUGGAGGUCAGCGGAAUAUGUCAUGUAGCGGUGAAAUGCUUAGAUAUGACAUAGAACACCAAUUGCGAAGGCAGCUGGCUACACAAAUAUUGACACUGAGGCACGAAAGCGUGGGGAUCAAACAGG
rnacentral:rRNA from 1 species